rnacentral:tRNA from 1 species
GGCUGAGUGGUCUAGUGGUAUGAUUCUCGCUUAGGGAGCGAGGGGUCGCGGGAUCGAUCCCCGGCGCAGCCC